AAGACUCCUGCUCCUCAAGCCAGGGAUAAAGUAUCCUGGCUUCUUCUUGGUAGAAGCCCUCGGUGAACAUUGACUCACUCCCUUGGAUAAGUGGAUGCAGAGUAACCCGUCGCUUUCAUUGGCCACCUUGACCUGUGUUAAUGAGUAAUCAGAGGCAAUGCUCCUGGAGGGUAGAGGCCAUGUCUUCUGUGCCUUCCACAGCAUGUGGGUCACGAGGAGUUGGGUUCAGGAAACUGUGUCCACAGAUACCAUCAGGCAGGGCCUUUCAAAGUGGGAGAAAGCUAGACCCCUCCUGAAUAGAGCUGAUGGUUCAGCUCUAUUAGCUGAUGGUUCCCUGGGGGCCCUCCCACUGACCAGUGACUUUUCCCCUUUUCUCUUGCUUUGUUUCUUGUGUUGUGAAACAUUCAUCAUGUGGUAAUUAAUUGUGGACAUUGGUUUAAUGCUUGUCCCACCACAGCGUAGGGCCUCGUUCCCACUGCCCGGCAGAAGUGGUGGCUCAUGGAAGUUUCUACUGUAUAUUUACUUGCUGAUUAACUGACUUGAGGUGUGAGGCACAGACAGCCUCUGAUGAGAACCCUGGGGAACCGAACUUCCUGGGAGAAGAAUGGAGUGAAGGAUCCCAGAUGUCCCAAUGGAAAAUGCCUGUUGGCAGGUAUCUAGAAUUUGACCAAGCUAGCAGGAGAACCUCAAAGCUUGGAAACAUCAUCAUCCCACCCUCUACAGAUGAAAUGGAAGCUUCCAACAGAUACCUGAGUCAGAUGAAGAAAUCGAGGUGCAAGGGGGUUAGCUACUUGUCGGAGAUCAUAUGACGGGGAGCAGAAGUCCUCGAUAGGAGGGACCCCGAUUCUGUGAUCUUACAGCUCUGCCUUCUGGGGUUUGAUAUCUUUAUUUUGUCAUGCCCCUUUCUGCAGGAGUAAGGGGAAUUCAGACUGGGGUGGGGGUCUCAGCAGAUGGCCAUGGAAAUCUCAAAACAGUGCCAUGGUUAUAUCCCAGGGGUGGAGGUGGAGGCCUGGAUGCCCUUUUCGGGAACUGAAAUACACCGGGCUACCUGGUCCUUGAAAGGAUUCAGAAAGUAUCAGCAGGUUGCUUGUUGCUGACUCAGGGAAUUAGGCUGGCAGACCCUGGGGACUCCCAAAGCUUGCUUGUGUCUGCAUGUCUCUAUGGGAAUAAGCCCAGGAAAAUCUAGAAGGACACGCUUACUGUAAAACAGAAGACUCCAGGGUCAUAGAAGAACCAAGUAUGAAGAUGUAGAGGACCCAAGACUCUCCCAUGUCCCUUUCCUUUCCUUUCUGCGAGUGUCUGUCUGUCCCUCCCUGCACCCCAGCCC